rnacentral:rRNA from 1 species
GAUGAACGCUGGCGGCGUGCCUAAUACAUGCAAGUCGAGCGAACGGACGAGAAGCUUGCUUCUCUGAUGUUAGCGGCGGACGGGUGAGGAACACGUGGAUAACCUACCUAUAAGACUGGGAUAACUACGGGAAACCGGAGCUAAUACCGGAUAAUAUUUUGAACCGCAUGGUUCAAAAGUGAAAGAUGGUCUUGCUGUCACUAAUAGAUGGAUCCGCGCUGCAUUAGCUAGUUGGUAAGGUAACGGCUUACCAAGGCAACGAUGCAUAGCCGACCUGAGAGGGUGAUCGGCCACACUGGAACUGAGACACGGUCCAGACUCCUACGGGAGGCAGCAGUAGGGAAUCUUCCGCAAUGGGCGAAAGCCUGACGGAGCAACGCCGCGUGAGUGAUGAAGGUCUUCGGAUCGUAAAACUCUGUUAGUAGGGAAGAACAUAAGUGUGAGUAACUGUGCACAUCUUGACGGUACCUAAUCAGAAAGCCCCGGCUAACUACGUG